GCCGCCUCCAAGGUCGCCUCUGCGCGAGCUCCGACACCUUGUUCGCGUGGUCGCCCAACGGCAGCCUGGCAGUGGGAGUGGUUGUUCGCCCGCGCCACCUCCAUGCGCCGCAUCUGAAGGCGUCGUUCGCCCCGAGCCCUACAGCCCACGCCGCCCUUCAGGUGCACCUCACCCGGCAAGGAGGACCAUUGACAUAGCCGUGAGCGCUGGGUGUAAAGGCCGGGCUAGGCGCGUCCACGACAUGCAGGAACUCGCCCGCAAGCCUCACCGCUGACACGACAGCUAGGCAGGACACCAAGGUUUCCAUGCUAGUUUUGAGGAGGAUGCCUACUCGAGGAUUGUUCUCAUGACAGAUGUAUGUAAUAAAGACUAUCCAAUUAUUUUCCAUGUAUUCCGGCAUCACUGCCCUUUCAUGUGUUACCCUGAAAUUUUAUCCACUUUUGUUUUUAUCAUGCACCCACCACUUUGACGAGCUGGCAACAGCUGGUUACAUUUUGUUCACUUCAUGUGGCAUUAUGUCAGAAGUUCUUUGAGGCCAAACCUUAUGAUCAAAGAACUGCUAUGGGAUUUGGCGUGCUCAAUGGCAUCUCAAAUGGGCUCCUCAAUCCGAGUUUAGGUUUCAAUUAUGUUAGUUUCUAUUAGGUAAAUGUCAAUUCAGCGUCGAGUACUUUUUCCUUGUCUAGAAUGGCAAAAAUUACUGACCUUUUAACACACGAAAUAACAUCUUAUGAAAAGGGUUCUAGUCGAGCUCUUACUUUUUGCGUGAUGCUUUGAGUGGAGAGCGCCCUUGACCUGGAGGCUGCUCAGCAGCACCUCGCUGACAUCUCCCAAGCAGCAGUAUAUGUGGUAUCUGCUGAACACUUCAACUUAAUUUAGCUUACCCUUGUUGUCCUUCUUGCCUAACAUAAUUUAAUGGUUGAGCACGCGAUUGGUUCACAUGAUGCAGUAUCGUUCCUUGGACCUGAAUGUUGAACAUCUGUUCAUGUACAUUGCCUUAGAAUCUUGCUAGCGACACCGUUGCACUUGCUCUAGAUAACACACGGUACCUAUCCAAAAAACUGAUAAAUCAGAGGGAUGCUGAUCUUGUUUACUUCUUGUGGAAGGUUAUUAUCAUCUCUGAGUUUGAUUGUUUGUCACAAAAUCUGUUGAUAAUCGUUAAUCGGGACACUAAAGCUAGCGACUAGUAUGUUACAUGCAUGGAUUUCCUGUUGAGGUUGCAUAUGCAUGGAUUUCUGGGUGAGGUUGCAUAUCCAUGGAUUUACGGCGAGGUUGCAUGACAUAAGCGUAGUAGUAGUAGUAUUAAAAAUCAGGGCUAGAAGUUAGUACAUCUGGUUAAUACUGUACUGGACACAUUCAACAAAGAGCUACUAUCCAUUCUAUCGAACAUGCCUGGGAUCUUGCUAUUGACAUUUUACAUUCAGCACACAACCUCAUAAACUCCUGAUGCUUUCAAAAUCUUGAUAUUAAUGCCUUCCUCAUGAUUCUUGUGUACCAUCGUUGCGUAUGAUUGAGAUAAUGCAUAGAGAAAACCUAUAAUGAAUGUUGUCAAUACGCCAUCGUUUAUCCAUCUUGUGCUAAUGAAACGAUACAAGUAUGCACUGUGAGAGAUAAGCAGACACGAAUGGAGCCGCUAAGUGCAAGCCGUGGCAAAGAAAUAGGAGGUGAGAUGAAGAGGAAGGGGUUUCCUUUUCCGCACGUCUAAUUCGAGCAGGAACGAGGGCUCAACCGGGUGGUGCUACUGCAGCGAAGGUGGCUCUACUAUGGCGCCCUCUGACUGUCGUUGCCAGUCAAACAGAUGCUUAUGUGGCUGGCUAGUUGUUCAGCCGUGGACAAGCAGACGACCACUGGAGUUUUUUUACAAGUGAACUGAAACAAAUUGUUUGAUAAGAGGACCUGCGGAUAGUGUCCAACAUUUGGCGAGGCAGCAAAGUCUUAAACACAGUGAAAAUAUCUAACUGAAGAUAGUAUGCAUCCUAUUUCUUUAGGAAACGUACCACAAAGUCACAUGUAGGAUCAGGUCUACGGAUGGGGAGAAUGUUGAUGCGAGCACUUUGUUUAGGGGGAUGUUCAAAUUGAAAUGCAAUUGCUCCACAUGUCGCAUAUCACUUAGGGAGCAACGGCGGAGGCGCCGGGUGGUGGAGAAUGCGGCGCAAUGACCGUUUGGACCAUGACAGAUCUAAUGUCAUUGGCCAACUAGCCAUGGUCCCAAUAAGUUCACGGACUCCGACAUCCUGUGGGCCUGGACCAUCUGCAAGUUCCAGUAGCUACCCAGGUGUCUGGUGAUCCCAAUUCUGACAUCCGGACGGGGGUGCUUUCACUCCACGCCAAAGUUCAUCUAGUACCAGGCUACCCCAUCCAGCUCGCAUCCUAGAUUAUGUCAUCAGCGAGAUCUAAGUGCAGUUUGAGCUCUCCAAGAGCAUCAGUGGUGUCGUAAUCGAUGAAUGUCCCAUCAACAAGGAGCGGUAUUGGUAAUCUGGUAUAUUUCAUUUCGUUGGCAGCCUGGCCCCAGACCAAUUCUCCUUUAAAGUACUAUUGGAUUAGGAUAACCUUAUCAAGAUGAUUGCAUGAAGUGUCAUUGCUUCCACAAUAAGCAUUUGCCUGGACACUAGCCAUCAUUAAUGAAUGUGGAAACCAUCUUUAACUUGUUAUGCAGUUUUUAACAUGUUAUGAUACUGCAGUAAUAGUUAAUACAAUAAAUGCUCUAUUCUGCAAAGCUCAAAAGAUCAGCACUUGCCAACCUAGCAUUUGCUGGAAAAUGUGAUGAAGAUUUCUCAUAAUUCUAUAUCUGUUUUUAGGGAGGAAGGGGUCUCUGGUAUUUGAGUCAAUCUAUGGGUGCAUGCUUCUGCAUUGGAACCAUUCAGGAUAUGUUUUUUCUAAAGGAAUUAGAUACACACAGCCAUAAUCUCGAAUUAUUUCUGUGAGACCACAUUGGGUUUUCAGUUUUUAAUUUUCUUCUUUAACUAAUGAUAACAUUGAUAAAUGAUAUGCAAGUUGAGAAGGAAAAAUGUCUGAAUUUUUUUUAUUAUGAGGACUUGUACCAUGACAAAUAGGACCACGAUCUGGUCUUUACAGUGAACUUCAUGUGACCUAUGUUUGACCAUUAUACUGGAACAGAUUUUCCACAACCUAAUGUAUGCCUAAAUUUUUCCACCAUUUAAAGUAGACGUUCUCAUGCUAGCUAGCUUAAUUUGUAGCAUACAUUGAAGUGGGUUGCGGAUGUAGAUUUCACUUCCAGAUGCUGGAAACAUCAUUUUUAGUGCAUGGAGAAGGCUCGGCUAGGCCUUGGUUAUAGCUAUAAAAUGCAUGGAGGGAUCAGGCCAGCGGAGCAGCGGCAUGAGAGCGGCGAGGUUGAGCUCACACUACUUCCCCACCACACCAAGGCUCUAAAGAAUGGUGUACAAGUGAAGUUGUAGAGGAAUGCUCGCAGUGUCCUGGAAGCUCCAACUGCCCGAGGUACUCCUGCCAGCAUCCAACCAAACAUGUCGCCGGCAUCUUCCCCAUCCAUGUACCCGAGGUUGCUGGUGGGGAUCGUGCUCCAUCAAUCCGAUAAGGUAUGCAGUGGUAGAUGCGGCGCGAUGGUAGUGUUGCUGAAUAGGACCCCGACAUCAUUGCCCGCCGCUGUCGGCACACUGCUGUUGGCCAUGGUUGACAAGGACUUCCUUGAGCACGUGUUGUCUAGGAUGGAUACGCUGACAACAUCAACAUCAACUACGGUGUUGAGGCGAGAACAUGGGAGGUCUGGUACGUUUUUUGGAGGCUCUUCCUUGGUCACUUGACGAAGAUGACGGGGGCGACAAGGAACGAGUUCGAGAUGGCUGUGGUGGCUCUUACAGUUCCCCACUGCCUUCCACUGCGCACAAGGAGCAAGAUGGCAGCAGUGGCAGGAAGCGAGGGAUCGAUUGUGCGACGGCAACAACUAGACGCCAAGAGCUGUGUGAGAUAGUGAGCAGCAUCGAGACAAAAAAAAAAGGCGGGGUCUAGUACUGGAGUCCACCAGCGAGGUGGUUAGAGAAGAGCUGGAUCACAAAAGGUGGGCAAAGAAGAGAUGUGGCUGACGAGGUACUGGUGAUGUGCUCCAUAUAAUGGCGAGGUACCUAGAUCGUAGCAAUAAGCUAUGGCAGUGAUCUUCCACAGUCCGGACACGAGCUGCCGGAGGUUGUGGUGGGGUGGUCACCAGCUGCGCUUUCAGGAGGCCGUCCACGAGCUGCUUGAGAUCCGCUUGCAGGAGCCAGCGGAGUGUAUGCAAUCUAUCAGAACAUAGAGGCUAGUAUUACUAGUUGUCCUGUGUGUGGCUAGUAACUGAUAGUAUUGCUCAGUGUCAAACUUGUACUUGUGUUAAGAGCAUACAUGCAUCGGCCAGGAGCUGAUGCAGCUUGUCAUUGUAGAUUAAUUUUUGUUGCAUCCUCAAACCUAAAAGAAUAAUGUCGCUAGCAAUUUGUAGCCUGGUGAUGUAGCAAUUUUGCUUGCACUAUUCUUGUAUCGUGCUUAUCAUUACUUGAGAAAUGAAGACAAUUGGGUGUACUAUAUUGAAAAAUGAAAUGAUGUUGGUGGAACCUGAGAUA